rnacentral:rRNA from 1 species
UGGGGAAUAUUGCACAAUGGGCGCAAGCCUGAUGCAGCCAUGCCGCGUGUAUGAAGAAGGCCUUCGGGUUGUAAAGUACUUUCCGCGGGGAGGAAGGGAGUAAAGUUAAUACCUUUGCUCAUUGACGUUACCCGCAGAAGAAGCACCGGCUAACUCCGUGCCAGCAGCCGCGGUAAUACGGAGGGUGCAAGCGUUAAUCGGAAUUACUGGGCGUAAAGCGCACGCAGGCGGUUUGUUAAGUCAGAUGUGAAAUCCCCGGGCUCAACCUGGGAACUGCAUCUGAUACUGGCAAGCUUGAGUCUCGUAGAGGGGGGUAGAAUUCCAGGUGUAGCGGUGAAAUGCGUAGAGAUCUGGAGGAAUACCGGUGGCGAAGGCGGCCCCCUGGACGAAGACUGACGCUCAGGUGCGAAAGCGUGGGGAGCAAACA